rnacentral:rRNA from 1 species
CCUACGGGGGGCAGCAGUGAGGAAUAUUGGUCAAUGGGCUUACGCCUGAACCAGCCAAGUCGCGUGAGGGAAGACUGCCCUAUGGGUUGUAAACCUCUUUUGUCAGGGAGCAAUUGGCGCUCCGUGUAGCGUUGUCGAGAGUACCUGAAGAAAAAGCAUCGGCUAACUCAGUGCCAGCAGCCGCGGUAAAACGUAGGUGGCAAGCGUAAUCCGGAAUUAUUGGGCGUAAAGAGGGAGCAGGCGGCAGGAAAGGCCGGUGGUGAAAGACUGAAGCUAAAAUUCAGUAAGCCAUAGAAACCGGGCAGCUGGAGUGCAGGAGAGGAUCGUGGAACUCCAUGUGUAGCGGUGAAAUGCGUAGAUAUAUGGAGGAACACCAGUGGCGAAGGCGACGGUCUGGCCUGCAACUGACGCUCAGGCACGAAAGCGUGGGGAGCAAAUAGGAUUAGAUACCCGAGUAGUC